AGGGUAUUCCCCUAGUACGGCGAGUGAAGCGGGAACAGCUCAAAUUUGAAAUCUGGCCCUCGGGUCCGAGUUGUAAUUUGUAGAGGAUGCUUUUGGUGCGGUGCCUUCCGAGUUCCCUGGAACGGGACGCCUUAGAGGGUGAGAGCCCCGUACGGUUGGACGCCUAGCCUCUGUAAAGCUCCUUCGACGAGUCGAGUAGUUUGGGAAUGCUGCUCUAAAUGGGAGGUAUAUUUCUUCUAAAGCUAAAUACUGGCCAGAGACCGAUAGCGCACAAGUAGAGUGAUCGAAAGAUGAAAAGCACUUUGAAAAGAGGGUUAAAUAGCACGUGAAAUUGUUGAAAGGGAAGCGUUUAUCACCAGACUUUUUCUGGGGGGAUCAUCCGGUGUUCUCACCGGUGCACUUCCCCCAGUUGAGGCCAGCAUCGGUUUUCGGAGGGGGAUAAAAGCUUCGGGAAUGUGACUCCCUCGGGAGUGUUAUAGCCCGUUGCAUAAUACCCUUCUGGGGACCGAGGUUCGCGCAUCUGCAAGGAUGCUGGCAUAAUGGUGAUCAACGACCCGUCUUGAAACACCGGACC
rnacentral:rRNA from 1 species